rnacentral:rRNA from 1 species
UGGUGGAUUGUUGCUGGCCUUUGGGUAUGUGCACAUCCUCCUCCGAUUUCUAUUCAUCCACCUGUGCACUUUUUGUAGGAGUUCUUUCAUCGGGUUUUUGAAGGUGCUCAUUAUGAGUUACUUGAAAAGACUAGUUGACAAGGCUUCUAUGUUCUUAUAAACCAUUGAAGUAUGUUAUAGAAUGAUCUUGUUAUUGGGACUUUAUUGACCCUUUAAACUUAAUACAACUUUCAGCAACGGAUCUCUUGGCUCUCCCAUCGAUGAAGAACGCAGCGAAAUGCGAUAAGUAAUGUGAAUUGCAGAAUUCAGUGAAUCAUCGAAUCUUUGAACGCACCUUGCGCCCUCUGGUAUUCCGGAGGGCAUGCCUGUUUGAGUGUCAUUAAAUUCUCAACUUUAUAAGUUUUUACUUAUUAAAGCUUGGAUGUUGGAGGCUUGCAGGCAUUUGUCAGCUCCUCUUAAAUUUAUUAGUGGGAACCCUGUUUUGUUAGUUCUAACCUUGGUGUGAUAAUUAUCUACAUUUUGGUGGAACCUUACAAUAAUAAAGCUCUAUUGGUUUGGGUUGUUGCAUUUAGUUUGCUCAAUCUGUUCUAUUCAUUGGAGAAAAAGGGAAGUUCUGCUUUCUAACUGUCUUGAUUGACUAUAUAUAACUUAUUUGCUUGACCUCAAAUCAGGUAGGAUUA